UUAUUCUCCUUCUUGGAGCCUAAUCGUUCUCAUAGCACCUUGUUGGCUGGCUACUGUAGCAAGCAUUUGGUCUAAAAUUUGGAGAUUGAUAAGUUUCAAAAUAUGGAAAAAAGAAUGGAAGUAGAAAUGUCAGUGAUUUUCAGGUGUAGCUCCUCCGUUGUGAUUUCGUCGAUGAAGGACAAGUGUUCUCUUUGCUGGAGACUUAGGAAGAGAAUGUCCUUUUGGAACAUAAGUAUGGAAUAUAAGUCGAGCUUCUAUCUUUAUGAGGGCCUAAAAGUUUGAUUCAGCUUUGUACAAAAGCAUACAUGAAGCACCUUGCUAUGGUGAAGAAUCUUUAAGUCAAUUUUCUAGUUGGAAUGUUAUACCAGAUUUUACAAGUUGAGAUAGAUACAAUUUGCUCUAAGUAGAUAUUGAAUAGAGUCUAGUUAUGUUCAUGAAUUAUUUUUACCAUGUUUUAGUCUAGAUUGUGGAUCAUAAAUUUAAUGUAUUUAGGAAUUUUCAAUAUGUUAAAUUCUAUAUUUCUAUGUAGACAUUGUAAAUGUUGUGGUAUUUAUUUGAAAAAUUAAUCUA